GCCAUCGUACGGGAAAGGUAGGCGUCCUUCUCGGUUGAUUCAUUGCUCUUUUGGUGCAUUGUAAUGUACUUAGUUUGUUGGUUACUGACGCCAUUUAACUUAAUCGCAGCCCUGUCCAUCCGCAACUGGCGUGAACCCAGCUGGCAGUCGGCUACUGUUCUGGAGCUUGUAUGCCGAGCUCGGCAAACUCGAGUAUCACUGGUGGCGUGCUUCCACUUCGUGCCCUUUGUGGUUGACUACUUGCGUGCCGCUUCGAGAGAACCAAAGUUUCCUUGAUGCACGGUACCCAGCUGGAACCCGGCGUGACCCAUAUCCCGACUUGCGCUUGGCAGACCUGAUCUGGAGGAGGAGUUGGUGCCUUCGACUACACUGAUGCAGUAUCAUUAGAGAAGGGGGGCAUUACUGU